rnacentral:rRNA from 1 species
UACGAAGGGGGCUAGCGUUGCUCGGAAUGACUGGGCGUAAAGGGCGCGUAGGCGGUUUGGACAGUCAGAUGUGAAAUUCCUGGGCUCAACCUGGGGGCUGCAUUUGAUACGUUCGGACUAGAGUGGGGAAGAGGGUCGUGGAAUUCCCAGUGUAGAGGUGAAAUUCGUAGAUAUUGGGAAGAACACCGGUGGCGAAGGCGGCGCUCUGGACCGAGACUGACGCUGAGGCGCGAAAGCGUGGGGAGCAAACAGG